AAAAUUCGAACUUCAAGACUAAGCAAAAAUCCUAGGAAUCAAGCUGGAAGCUACAAUGCUGUUUCAGGGAAGCACAUGAUAUACAAAUACAACCCUUAUAAGUUACAGCUUCGGCACUGACCAGGAGACUGUAAGUACUGGCCAUGGAUGCAGAAGAAGAAAGGCUAAGUAAAACCCACAUCCAUGGCCAAUUGGUAGAGAUAAACCACAAUCAGGAGAAACGAAUACGCCACGAAGAAACAAAGGCGCAGAAUCUGACAACUGGGUUUGCGGUCGUCCAAGCUUUAAUUCUCAACACAGGGGUGAUCAAUAAGCCAUCCAACAGAUGCGAACACUGGUGGGUGCCAUUCUCUCUCUCCUUAUCCGUCGGUGUGAUUUAUUUCAUCACCAUUUUUGAGGUGUUGAGGAAAUGGUACCUUCUGCUCUACCAUUUGGACGUCAACUACCUGGAGCAAGAACUUAUUCUACUGGAAAUGCAUGGGGGUGCUCCGUCCUGGCGAAAUGAUCAGCCAUUGAAGCCAGAUGUGGUGAAGCUCCUGAGGCGUAAAGCUUAUAUCACGAUACUGAUUUCUGCUAUGCUCGCCUUUCAAGCUCUGAUGCUCCACGCCUGCAGAUCCUUUCUUUGCAGCUGAAAGUAACCAUCUUCCCCUUUAAAUAAAUACUAGAAUAAAAAAAAAAAUUGUUGUUUAUUAUGCCAAAUUUCUCGAUGCCUUUGAAGAGUGUCAUGGGAAAGGCUAUUAAGAUGCAAACUACAUAAUUCAAAAUGCAUUAUAUGCAACGAAAUUAUUUACCAUGAAAUUUAUUUAUAUUGUUUUUCUUUCUAAAGUAUUCAAAAUGCAUGAUAUGCAAUCGAAAAAUUUGAGGGAAAAUAUUACAGAAAGAAAAUAGAGAGAAAAAGUAGAAUAAAAAAAUGAAAAAAAAUAAAAAAUAUAUUUAAAGUCAAUAAAUUAUUUUUAUAUUUUAUUUUAAACUCAUUUUAUUUAUUUUAACUCAUGAUAUAAAAUUAAAUAAUUUUAAAAUAUAUAAAAUUUUAAUUAAUUUUAAUUAUAUUUGAUUUGAGAAACUCAUUUUACUACACAUUUUUUUUUCCCUUUUUCAGUAGUUUUGGCAACCAAACAUUUACCUAAAAUUUUGUUAAUGCAUCUCCCUAGGUGUUUGUGCUCACAUAUUGGGCCCAAGAAUGGGUUCCUGCAACUACCAUCAGUGGGCUGGGCUGCCCAAUCAAUAACAAAAGGGCACUCACCUGGGUCUCAUGGGCCGAAAAAAAUGGAGCCCAUACACAACAGUUUUGAACCCAAACAUAAAUUUCAAGUUCAUAUAUACUUUUAAUCUCGUUUAUUCAUUCAUAUUAGAAAUCUAGAUUUAUAUUAAUUCAUUCAUGUAGAUCUAUAUAUUAGGAAUCAAAUUAGAGUGCAUAGAAACCAAAAUUAAGAGAGAGGAUUAUACCCAAGGAAGUUUUGUGUGAUACGUUGAACCGAAAGUGAUAAAAACUAAGGCUAUGUUUGGUUCCCGGAAAAUUUGAGGGAAAAUGCGAGGGAAAGAAAAUACAAAGGAAAAGUAGAAGGAAAGAAAAAGUGAAGGAAAAUAAAAAAAUAUAUAAAAAUUUGAUAAAUUAUUUUUUUUGUUACUUCAAACUCAUUUUAUUUAUUUUAACUCAUCAAUAUAAAGAUUAAAUAAUUUAAAAAUACAUAAGCUUUUAAUUAGUUUUAAUUAUAUUUGAUUUUCUUUGAUAUUUUUCAUAGGACAACCAAACAUGAGAAAAUCAUUUUCCUUAGCAUUUUUUUUCUUUCCUUUGUACUUUCCGGGAACCAAACAUAGCCUAAGACUAUGUUUAAUUCUCAAAAAGCAAUAAGGAAAGAAAAAAAAUGAAGGAAAAUUAUUUUUUCGUAUUUUAUUUUUCUAUGAAAACCUUGAAAGGAAAUAAAAUAUAAUUAAAAAUUUAUUAUAUAUUUUUAAAUUAUUAAUUUCCAUAUAAAAGAGGAACAAAAUGUCAGAUGAAUUUGAAGUAACAAAUAAAAAUAAUUUAUAAGUUUUAAAUUCAUUUUUUUAUUUUCCUUAAUUCCUUCUUUUACUUUUUCUUUCUAUUUUCUUUCCCUCACAUUUUCUCUUGGAUUUUCUAAGAACCAAACAUAAUAUAAAAAAUAUUUAAUAUAAAAAAACAAAUAAUAUAUAAAAAAACCCAAAUAAUUUGACAUGUGGUAUAUUGUUGCUAGUCAAAGUAAUGGUCGUGGGUGACUUUUAGAAGCCUCCAAUAAGAAAUGGCCAAAAAACCUAUGAGCUCGGCAUUUAUUUGAGUAUCUCGAGGACAAUAUUUUAUUUUUAAUUAUGUGUUUUAAUUCAUUGUUUUUUUUCUUUAAUAUUAUUUUAGAAAUAUGUUUAGAGAUAUGUUAAUUUUAGUGCUUAAAAAGAUUUUGAAAUAUAAAGAUUUUGAUAAUUAAAAAUUCGUUUAAAAAUGAUUUUAGGAAGCAUUUAACCUAUUUAAUCUUUAAAAUUUUUAUAAAAGAGUUGUUUUCAAGUGCUAAAAAAAUUAGAGACAUUUUAUAAAAUUACUAUUAAAUAAAUUCUAAAUAUAAUCGAGUCGUGUGACUAUAAAUUGCUAGACUUUUCCAUGUGAUUAAUCCUUGGAUACUUGGAAUUUGUUUAUGUGGGGUAGAGCUUUUGUGAGUUUGUUUGCAAUUUUCUCAUACUAGAAACAAAUGAAUGGUCAGAGAAAGGAACAUAGAAAAGAGAAGAUUGAAACACCUUCACCUGCUCCGAAGGUUCGUAUGAUCUUCAUGCCAGCCUCCAUGCCUCAUUUUCCCGCUUAUAAAAAAAGGCCACAAAAGACUUGACUGAUCUGAUAAAGCAGGGCCGGAAAAGCGAGCUCGACACGAAGAAACGAAAGCCGGCCAAUGCAGUCCGAGAGAUCACACAGCGAACUGUUCGAGUCUGGGCUUUUGUUUCUUCGUGUCGGUCUUGCUUCUGUCUCCGGCCGGAGGAACAAAAUUGUACAGACAUGGAUGGGAAGAACUCCUGUAAUAUCAAGAGUCCUUCUAUCUUUGGAUUGUUAUAAUAAUAUUAUCUUCAAAACAAAAUUUAUGCAAGUGGGGGUAUAUUUUUUAUUUUUUGUUUUUGAAAAUAGGAAGUUUUAUACAAAAUAUAAAAAAAUCUUAUAUGAAAGAUAGGUAUAAUAUUGUUAUGUUAUUUGAAAACAUUUUUUAAAAUUGACGGAAGUAAAAAAAUUUCAAUUCCAUAAAUUUUUAAAUUUUGAAAAAGUCUUUAAGAAGGGUAGGUAAGAGGAUGCUUGUUAAUGGUUAGAAAAUAGUUUUAUAUGUUUUAGAACAAAAGAAUAAUAAAAAAAAACAUGCUUAAUGAUUAGAAAACAGUUUAUACUCUUAAAAAACAAAAAAUCGGAGUGUUUUUAGAUAAUAUCUUUUAAUUUUUAAAAUUAUUUUUAUUUAUUGAAAAAUAAUCAUACAAAAUGCAGAAUGAUUAUGAGUAAAGUAUUACAUGUGAAACUUAUUUUUAAAAAAUAUUUAAAAACAUAAAAAAAAAGUUAAUAACAGUUCAAGUUUCCAAACAAACUAUUAUUUUACAAAAUAUUAUAUAAGAAUUUUAAAAAAUAGUUUUAAAAAAUACUUUUCGAACACAGUUUAAAUUUUUUUCUUUUUGUAUAAAAAUUCUUAUAUUUUGUAUAAGGGUUUUUAUUUUUAAAAAUAAAAAAAAUAAGAAAUAUAUUCAAAGAUAUUUAAUAAACAAUAAGAAUUCAAAAGAGAAAGCCUUAAAUUUUAUGUUAUUAUUGUAAAAUGAGAAUAAAUGUGACUCAAAUAAUAGUAGGGAUGACUAUGUAUUACUUUAAUAAUAUAUAUAUAUAUAGAGGGGGAGGGGGGAAGAAAUCAAAGAGAAGUGUUGAGAGAAUGAAAGAAAGAGAUAGAGAGAAUGAGAGGAAGAAAAUUUCUUUCUUUUUCUCGGGAUGCUCUUACAUGGGGUAUAAGAAGCCUUUUAUAGGAUUCAUAAUAUGAACUCCCAUUACUCAUCUUAAAGAUGAGUAAAUGGAGUUCAUAAAUGACCAUCAAUGUGGUCAUUUAUCACUUCAUUUACAACAUUCCCCCUUGGAUGACCACCUUAUUAAAAGAAUAUGUCUCAUUAAAACCUUGCUAGUAAAAAAUUUUAUAGGAAAAACCUAGCGAAGGAAAAAGAGUAUAAUAUUCUUUUCUUGGUAUAUUAGGACUGCCUCGUUAAAAACCUUGCCAAUAAAACCCAGUAGGACAAAACCUGGACGAAUGAAAAAAGAGUACAGUAUACUAACACCCUUUUACAAGCAUACUCCCUCUCAUGUCGAUAUCCUUGAGUUGACGCAUUCCAAUCAUAUAUAUUAAUUUCUUGAAUGUUGAGGUUGACAAUGAUUUUGUGAAUAAAUCUGCUAGAUUAUCACUUGAGCGUAUUUGUUGCACAUCAAUUUCACCACUCUUCUAGAGUUCAUGUGUACAAAAGAAUUUUGGUGAAAUGUGUUUAGUUCUAUCUCUUUUAAUAUAACCCCCUAUUAUUUGUGUAAUGCAUGUAGCAUUAUCUUCAAAUAAUAUUGUCGGGUCACCUUUGAUAGAGGAGAGUCCACAUGAUUCCCGAAUAUGCUGGACCAUAGAUCUUAGCCUUAUACAUUGAUGACUUGCUUCAUGAAUUGCCAGUAUUUCUGAAUGAUUUGAUGAUGUGGUCACCAUUAUUUGUUUGACAUCUUUCCAUGAAAUAGUAGUACCAUUGCAAUUAAACACAUACCCUAUUUGUGACCUACCUUUAUGUGGAUCUGAAAGAUAUCCUGCAUCUGCAUAUCCAAGCAAUUGUUGCUUUGAUUCCGUUGAGUAAAAUAAACCCAUAUCAAUAGUUCCGCAAAGAUAACAUAAUAUAUGUUUGAUACCAUUUCAAUGUCUUCGAGUUGGAGUGGAACUGUAUCUUGCUAAUAAAUUGACAGAAAAAGCAAUGUCUGGACGUGUACAAUUGGCAAGAUACAUAAGUGCACCAAUAGUACUAAGAUAUGGUACUUCAGGACCAAGUAACUCUUCAUUUUUUUCGCAAGGACGAAAUGAGUCAUUUUUCACAUCAAGUGAUCGGACAACCAUUGGAGAACUUAAAUGAUGCGCUCUAUUCAUAUAAAAGCGCUUCAAAAAUUUCUUAAUGUAUGUUGAUUGAUGUACUAAAACUCAAUUUGGAAAAUGCUCGAUCUGCAGGCCGAGAUAAAAUUUUGUUUUUCCAAGAUCUUUCAUCUCAAAUUCCUUUUUCAAGUAAUUUGUUGUUCUUGUGAGUUCUUCAGGAGUUCCAACAAGAUUUAAGUCAUCGACAUACACUGUAAUAAUUGCAAAUCCGAUUUCUGAUUUCUUAAUGAAGAUGCAUGGGCAUGUAGGGUUAUUCACAUAUCUUUUUUUUUAGCAAAUAUUCGCUAAGACGAUUGUACCACAUGCGUCCAAAUUGCUUUAAUCCAUACAAGGAUCGUUGUAACUUGAUUUAGUACAUGCUAUGAGACUUUGUACUAUUUUCUCCAGGCAAUUUAAAUCCUUUAGGGAUUUUCAUGUAUAUAUCAUUAUCCAUGGAUUCGUAUAAAUAUGCUGUAAUAACAUCCAUGAGAUGCAUAUCCAAUCCUUCUGAGACUGCCAAACUAAUUAAGAAACGAAAUGUGAUUGCAUCCAUGACAGGAGAAUAUGUUUUCUCGUAGUCAAUACUAGGUCUCUACGAGAAACCUUGUGCUACUAAUCGCGCUUUAUAUUUUAUGAUAUCAUUAUUCUCAUUGCGCUUUCGUACAAAUACCCAUUUGUACCCAAUAGGCUUUACAUCCUCAGGUGUUUGGACUACAGGUCCAAAAACUUCUCGUUUUGUUAACGAGUUUAACUCUGCUUGUAUAGUUUCUUUCCAUUUUAGCCAAUCAUUUCUAUGUCGACAUUCUUCCAUAUUUCGUAGUUCGGGAUUUUCAUCAUUUCUUAUGACUUCAUAGGCCACUUGGAAAGCAAAAAUAUUGUUAAUAACAAUAUUAUUUUGAUCCCAUUUUUCUCCCGUGUGUACAUAACUUACUAAGAUCUCACAAUUUUCAGGUACCUAUGCCUCUUUAGGGGCUUCUCGUUCAAUAUGUGGCUCUUCAUGGGCUUCUUGUUCAAUAUGUACCUCUUCAGGGGCUUUCUGUAUUAUUUAUGCCUCUUCUAGGGUUAUAAAUUUAUCAAUUUUAAAUUGAUCAGUCAUUUUGAUGACCUCUUCUAGAGUGCCAAGUUUUUCUUGGGUUCUCAUUUCUGGGAAGAUACAUUCUUUGAGCCAACAAGUUUACCACAUUUCAGGCGUAUCUUAGAUUCAUUUGUUAACUGUCCUACAGGGACAUCGAUCUGUGCUGAGUAUUUGCAGCCGGGAUAUAUGACUUUGUCACUUUCUUUGUAUUAAUGAAUGCAUAUGGUAAUUGAUUUGCAAGAUUUUGCAAAUGAAUGAUCCUUUGGAAGAUGGGUCAUAGUAGAUGCCUUCCAACUAAUUUCUCAUCGUUCUUUAGAAAUUGACUUUUCUCCCCUCUAAUGACUGGAAAACACUCUCAUUAAAAUGACAAUCCGCAAAGCGGGCAGUAAAAACAUCACCUGUUAAAGGUUCAAGAUAUCUUAUGAUAGAUGGAGAAUCAAAACCUACAUAAAUCCCAAGUCUUCGUUGGGAACCCAUUUUAGUGCGUUGUGUAGGUGCAAUUAGUACAUAAACUGCACAACCAAAGAUUUGUAAGUGAGAGAUAUUUGGUUGUUUUCCAAGCACAAGUUGUGAAGGGGAGUAUUCAUGGUAAGUUGUAGGUCAAAUACGGAUUAAAGCUGCAGCAUGCAUAAUAGCAUGUCCCUAGGCAGAAGUAGGUAAUUUGGUUCUCAUUAGUAAUGGUCGAGCUAUUAAUUGGAGAUGUUUGAUGAAGGAUUCUGCUAAACCAUUUUGGGUAUGAGUAUGAGCAACAAGAUGCUCAAUAUUUAUCCUUAUUGACAUGCAAUAGUCAAUGAAUGUUUGAGAAGUAAAUUCGCCAGCAUUAUCAAGACGUAUUGUCUUAAUUGGAUAAUCUAGAAAUUGUGCUCGUAAUCUGAUUAUUUGUGCAAGGAGUCUAGCAAAGGCAACGUUACGUGUAGAAAGGAGACAAACAUGUGACCACCUAGUAGAAGCAUAUAUUAAGAUCAUAAAAUAACGGAAUGGUCCACAUGGUGGAUGGAUAGACCCACAUAUGUCCCUAUGUAUUCUUUCUAAAAAGACUGGUGACUCAGAUUGACUUUAGUAAAAGAUGGUCUCAUUAUCAAUUUACCUUGUGAGCAGGCAACACAUGAGUAUUCAUUGGGUGAAAGAAUCUUCUAGUUCUUUAGUGGAUGUGCAUGUGAGUGUUCGAUUAUUCGACGCAUCAUUGAAGACCCUGGGUGACCUAGCCUGUCAUGCCAAAGGACAAAAACUUUUGGGUCGUUGAACUUCUGGUUCACGACAACAUAUGAUUCAAUAGGCUUUAUAGUUGUAUGAUACAACCCAGAUGAGAAAUUCGAGAGUUUUUCCAUUAUAAGCUUCUGGCCAGAUAUAAUGGAAGUAAUGUAAAUAUAUUCUAUAUUAUCUUCAUUCAUAGUUUCAAUAUGAUAUCCAUUUUUGCGGAUAUCUUUAAAACUGAGCAAAUUUCUUCUGGAUUUGCUAGAAUAUAAAGCGUCAUUUAUAUGGAAUCUAGUUCCAUUUGGCAACGUUAUGUUUGCUCUUCCAGAACCUUCAACUAAGUUUGUAGUACCAGAUAUGGUACUUACAUUAGCUUUUAUUAAUGUCAAUUCAAGAAAAUAUCUUUUAUCUAGAAGAAUUGUAUGCGUGGUCGCACAGUCUACGAGACAUACAUCAUCCUCAUUCAUCUUGAGACCAAAUAACACAUGGAUUUCAGAUAUAACAAAAUAAAACAAGGCAUAAUGUAAAUAACAAAGUAAAUCAGAUGUAAAUAUAAGACAUAAUAAUAUAUUAUUUCAUAUAUAAAGUAACAUCAAUCAAUGUUAAUUUUCUCAUCAUUUAUCAAAUGGUCUGUUUUUUCAUUGGGACCUCCAAAGAAAUCAAUGUUAUAGUAGGUUAGGUCUAAUCCAUCACCAUCGGUAAAGUUCAUCUCUAUCUCUUUUCUUUUUGCUUUUAUUGAUGCUUGGUAAAGGUCGACUAAAUGUUUGGGCAUACGACAGGUACGCGACCAAUGCCCCUUCAUACCACAUCUAUAACAAUUAUUCUCGUGGUUCUUAGGAGGUUUAUCUUGUAAAUACUUCCCAUUUUAUUGUAUUGUCUCAGUAUUGUUCCAUUUCUGGUGGUGCAAUGAGGCUUUCAUUUUCUGAGAAUUAUUACUAUAAGAACCAUGGUAUCGGGGAUUUCUUCCACGAUCACGACCACGUCCACGAGUUUGGGACGAUAUUGCAUUGUUCAGAUCUAGUUGGACGAGAUUGGUGAUUUCUCAUCAAAAUCUCAUUAUUUUGUUUAGCAACAAGAAGACAUGAUAUUAAUUCAGAAUAUUUUGUAAAUCUACGCUCUCGUUAUUGCUGCUACAAGAGCACAUUCGAGGUAUGAAACGUAGUAAAAGUUUUCUCUAACAUGUCUUCUUCUGUGAUUUUUUCUCCACACAGCUUUAAUUGAGAGUUGAUUUUGAAAAGUGCGGAGUUGUAUUCACUAACAGUUUUAAAAUCUUGCAACCUUAGGUGCAUUCAAUCAUAUCGAGCUUUUGGGAGAAUCACAGUUUUCUGGUGGUCAUAUAUUUCCUUCAAAUUACUCCAUAGAGUAAAAAAGUCCUUUACCAUAAGAUACUCAUUUUUUAAAGCUUCAUGGAAGUGAUGGCGAAGGAAAAUCAAUGCUUUUGCGCGAUUCUGCAGGGAUGCUUGAUUUCUUUCUUUGAUUGUAGCUCCAAGGUUCAUUGCAUCAAGAUGUAAUUCAGCAUCAAGGAUCCAAGAUGGAUAGUUCUUUCCCAAAAUGUCAAGUGCCACAAAUUCGAGUUUUGUGAUAGUCGACAUUGUCAAAUAACUUCAUAUAUAUGACAAAACAAUAUUAUUAGAAUCAAUUAUAAUAACUUGAUAGCAUUGGUAUAACUUUGAUUAUAAACAAAAUCAAAUAAUUUGUUUAUAACUUUUAACAAUAUGUAACAAAACAAAUCAACAAUAAUAUAACUAUGUAAAAUUUUAUCCUAUAUAAAUAACUUCAGGUUUAAGAUACGAGAAUUACCUUCAAAGCAAUUCGUGCUGAUAACGUGUUGUAAAAGGAGAAUAAAUGUGACUCAAAUAAUAGUAGGGAUGACUAUGUAUUACUUUAAUAAUAUAUAUAUAUAUAUAUAUAGAGGGAGGAGGAGGAGGAGGAGGAGGAGGAGGGGGGAGGGGGGGGGGGGGGGACCAAAACAAAAAAAAAUGUUGGGAAAAUGAAAAAAAAAAAGAGAAAGAAUGGGAGGAAAAAAAUUUUUUUUUUUUUUUCAGGAUGCUCUAACAUGGGGGGGAAAAAGCCUUUUAUAGGUUUUCUAAUAAGAACUCCCCUUACUCCUCUUAAAAAUGAGUAAAUGGAGUUCAUAAAAGACCCUCAAUGUGGUCCUUCCUCACUUCCUUUUCAACAAUUAUUAAUUUUUUGUAUUACUUAAAAGGGNNNNNNNNNNNNNNNNNNNNNNNNNNNNNNNNNNNNNNNNNNNNNNNNNNNNNNNNNNNNNNNNNNNNNNNNNNNNNNNNNNNNNNNNNNNNNNNNNNNNGGGAGGGGGGGGGGGGGGGACGAAAUCAAAGAGAAGUGUUGAGAAAAUGAAAGAAAAAGAGAGAGAGAAUGAGAGGAAGAAAAUUUCUUUCUUUUUCUCAGGAUGCUCUAACAUGGGGUGUAAGAAGCCUUUUAUAGGUUUCAUAAUAUGAACUCCCAUUACUCAUCUUAAAGAUGAGUAAAUGGAGUUCAUAAAUGACCAUCAAUGUGGUCAUUCAUCACUUCAUUUACAACAGUUAUUAAUUUGUUGUAUUACUUAGAGGGGGUGAAUGAAUUGAAAGCACUAUGGAGGUAAGCUUUUUAGUCUUUUCACCUUAUCCUUUUUAUACAUAAUGUCUCCAUCAAUGAUGUUCAGUAUAUUCCUUAUUUUUGUUUUACUCAAGUGUUCCUGUAUUGUAGCCCUCUCAAGACUCUUCCUCUUCACUCCAAACAAGUUAAUUGUCUUCAUAUCAAAGUAACAUAAGUUGAUUUUCUUAGAGGGCUAAUGCUACUUAUGUGAUUAUUUCUUUUACAAAAGUUGCAAAUAGUACUAUUUGAGGAUUCCUUGACAAAAUAAUUUUUAAAUUUUAAUUUUUUUAUUUUUUAUUUUUAUAGAGCUUGUAUCCUAAUCCCUUUAUGCCAAAGAUUAUUUUUUUACUUGCCAAAAUUAUCAAAAUUCUUGUCCCCAUUUGAGAAUUUUGAAAGAGAAGAGAUUAACUAAUGAAUUUUCUUUUCAAGUAAGUAUAUAUUUUAUUCCAAGGAAAACCUUAGCCUUUUUCAGAUAUUUUAAACUCCCAUUUUAAGUUAUUAAUUUCAACUUGAAGAGAGAUGAUUUUCUUUUUAAGAUAAGCCUGAAAGUUAUUUGAUCUAGUUUAGGUAACACCUAGAGGAGUUGAAUGGGUGUUUAAAAUUUUCUGCUUAAAAAUGAAUUAUUUUAUAAUCAUAUAACAAACAUUUUUUCAAUUUAGGAAAGCCUAAAAACACUCAAUACAAAAACAUAAGAUUUUUAUAUGGAAAACCACCCAUAUCAUGUGCGGAUGUAAAAACGACAAAGUCAGACUUUUAAUCAUUAAUUAACUAUUUGAAAGUAUUAUACAUGGUUUUAGUUGGUGGAAGCUAUCGUUAAGUCUUAUUACCCAACACCUACAAUGCACUUCACAUUUGCGAUAUAGCACUACAUGUGCUCUUAGUGGAUCUAACCUCAGUGCUUGAGAGGAUGUAGAUCUCCUUUUCAAUCCAACAUAAGCGAAAACAACAUUCCUUAAGAGUUUUAGGAAUAAGAUGACGAAUUUGGUUUUUCAAAAAAUUUGCAUCAAACCAAAAACCUUUUUAGGUAAAACAUUUAUAGGCAUAAGAAGCUAGCGGACUGGAUCUACAAUUUUCCAAAAUAAGACCUUAAAAAAAUUUAGAAAAUCAAAGUUCCAAAAACUUUGGAGAAUUCUAUCAUGGGUGUUUGAGUGCUCAUGGGAGCACUUGAGUGCUUAUGGAGAUUUUUUAAACUUUUUAAAAAUUCUUUUAGCUCAGUUUUAAAACCCUUAGUUCGCACUAUGCCUUAACAAACACCAAUUUGUCAUUCUUGAACCUUUUGAUUUUUAGUUGUGCCAUCUCGAUUGAUCACAUAACAACUUUGAGUCUUCAAUGAAGAGUAAAACACAAUUAGAAAGAUUCUAAACUAGAAUGAAAGGAACAAAAUUGUUGAUCUUAAAUUAUAUAGCCUAAUAUACCAACAAUCUCCUAUGAUAAUUUUAUGAAAAAAAAUACAAAUUACAUAAACCCCCUAAUACUCUUUAAUGGAGUUUAAGAAUUUCUCAAUAACUCUCGUCUAAACCAAAUCAUUCUUGAACAUACAGAUGAUGAUAAAUCACAUCUAAAAGUGGGCAAUACCCCACUACUUGUGACCUGCACACACAAACCAACCAAGUACCCAAGUAAAACAAUGUGUGAGAGAAAACACAACUCAAAUUCUAUCAAAUCAAGGUAAGAGUAGAUGGAUGUGAGUCAUGCAUACAAUGGAUAUCUAAUCAAUAGUAUCAAUAAAUUGUCUCCCCGUUUUUGUCGCAAAAAUGACAAAGAAGGAAUAAACAAUGAAUGCACAUAAGAGAAAGAGAAAUAAUUAAGCAAAAGAACUUCAACUUAUUUUUAGAAUGCUUCUUUCUUGGUAAGAUCUCUUAAGAAACCCUUCUUGAAAAUAGAAUUUUUUUUUUGUUUUGUUUUUUAUGAUGGAAAAUUGCUUUCUACCUUAAAAACUAUAUUUGGUAAAAUUUCACUAAAAUAAGUUUUUGAAAAUAGGUUAUUUUUUUGGAACAAAAGCUUUUAAAUAUCUAUAUAUAUAUAUAUAUAUAUUGUAGAAUAUUUCAAGAAAUAGUUGAAAAUAUGAAAAAUGUUUCGAGAACCUUUGUAUUUUAGAUUUGUGCACUUCAAUUUCAUGAACAAUAUUAAACUAAGAAAACUGUUUUUUAUAUACUAAUUUCUAAAUAAAAUUUUGUUGCUGGAAAUAACUAAAAUUUAUUUUAAAAAACUAUUUUUUAAGAAUUAUUUUUGAAAACGUUGCUAAAAAGACAAAAGUCCUUGGUCAUUUUUUUUUUCUUUUAUAUUUUUAUCUUUAUGUAAGAGGCCGGUCUUUUUUUUUUUUUUAAUGUUCCAUAAUCCUUGUGAUAUUGUAACGUGUAAUUCAUUUAUUUGACUUCAAAAGUUAAGAAAUAAUGAACCUUUCAUUAUUGUAGUUUGUCUUGUAGUAAGAGACUUAAAAAUCCAUGUACAAGAGGUCUUCGUUUCUUAAGUCAAGUCAACAAAAUGGAGGUGGAAGAAAUAAUGAACUUUCAUUAUUGUAGUUUGUCUUGCUAAAAGCCAUGUAUAACGGGUCUUCUUUUCUUAAGUCAAGUCAAUAAAUCAAAUUAAAAGAAAUAAUAAACUUUUAUUAUUGUAUUUUAUUUUGUAGCAAGAGACUUAAAAAACCAUGUAUAACAAGUCUUCCUUUCUUAAGUCAAGUCAAUAAAUCAAAUUAAAAGAAAUAAUAAAUUUUCAUUAUUGUACUUUGUUCUUGUAGCAAGAGACUUAAAAAUCCAUGUAAGAGGUCUUCAUUUCUUAAGUCAAGUCAAGUCAAUAAAUCGAAUCGGAAGUUUUUCCUUUUUUUUUUUUUUAAACCAACUUCUACUAUUACUUUUAUUAGUUAUUUUGAUCAUUUGAUUAAAUAUUGAAUUAUUAUUAUUUUUUAAAAAUUUUCAAGUACAAACCAUUUCAUGUUAAAAAAUUUAAAGUGGAUGUAACUUUCUUUUCAAGUUAAGAUAUCUUGAUUAAGGGAUAAAUAAUGGAUUGCAAUAUUUCAACUUUAAUUAAGUUAAUUUAUCAAUAUUCAAAUUAAGUUGGAGAAAAAAAAAAAAAAAAAGACAACACCUCAAUUUUAGUUUUCCAUUACACAUGAUUAUUUCUUUUUCUUCUUUUUCCUUUGCUUCUUUAACACGCAAUGAGAGCUCUAGUCAUCAUACCUUUCAAGACUCUAAACUUACAAAAAUUUUCAGUCUUUUCAUCGUAUCUUUUAAAAUUCUUGACACUCAUAAAGUAUUUAAGACUUAAUUUUAAUAAAUUCAUAUUUUUACAACUAUAACUAAGAGCUUUGACCUAUUAAAAAAAUGAAUAAAAAAUACUUUGCAAGACAUUAAAAGUUCAUAAUUAUUUCUUUUACCUUAAAUGUAGUUGUUAUGUGUUUGCUAGUUCACAUAUUUGAGCGUGGACCGUGGCGACCUGCAGACCCGGAGGGGCAGCGUUGUCUAUCAGAUUUUAGAAAAUUCGUGCAACUAGCCAUAUGGUUUUGGACUAAAAUAAAAAAUAAGACUUUAUUUUUGUUAUUUCUUUUAUCAAGAUAUCUUAAUUAAUAAUUCAAAAAUGUUAAUAAUAAAUUAUAAAAGAGAUUUUUGCUACUCUUCGAAAUUAUAAAAAAGUUUAUACACUCAUAAAACAAAUAAUUAAAUGUAUCUUCUAAUAAAUAAAUUUUUAUUAAAAUAAAUAAAUAUAUAUCUACUUUGACUUUAUUAACAUGAAGUAAAUUGUAGGUAUCUUUAAGUUAGAUUUCUUAUUGAUUAAAGAAAAAGACCAUUCAAGGUUUAGCUAGAUGGAAAAAAAAAUUUUAUUUAUUAGAAAAUUCAAUUUUUUUUAUUGAUGAAUCAUUGAUAAUGAUAUAUAAAAAUAAUUUAUAUAUCAUAUAUUAAUAUUACUUUAUAAAUAUUUUUUAGUUUUUCUUUUUUAAUCAUAAAUUUAAUUUAUAAUUAAAAAAAUUAUUUUAUAAAAAAAAAAAAAUUUAUGAUAUAUCGGAUAUACAUAUCUUAUAUCUUAGUAUAAAAUUAACAUAUCUCGUGUAAAAAAAAAUAAAAAAGAGUGAAUAAUAUAUUUCACCACUUAUACUAUCUCAUCAUUAAUUAAAUAUAAAAUUUAAUGUGAUAUCUUCUCUUUUAUCCUAUAUGAUGUUAUAUUUGGUCAAUCAAACAUAACCUAUAAAACUAAAAUUAUAGAAAUGAAAUGCAAGAGACCUUACUGAAAAAUUGAAAGUAAAAUUAUUGAUUUUUGAAAGUAAAUAUUGAUAAUAUUAUAAAAUUUUCAUUAACAUAAAUUAAAAAAUUAAAGGAAAAAAAAACAUAACACUAUCCUCACAAUUCCGUGAUAUUGUUUUUUUCAUAUUAGAAAUCCUUAUAAUCAACUUUCCUGUUUUAAAAAUAAUUUUUAUUACUAAUUUAGAUUAAAAAAAAAAAAAAAAAACCUUUCAACCAACCACACAUGUGACACAUGGUGGUUGUUUUUGAAUUUCAAUAAAAGAUUUUAUAAUUAUUAAGAAAAGAAAAAAAUGUUAAGAAAAAUGAUUAUUUUUAUUUGAUUUUAUUAUGAAAUAUAUGAAAGUAAAAAUAUAUAAUUAAAAUUAAUAAAAAACUAAUAUAUUUUAAAAUUAUUUAAUUUUUAUUUUUAAAAAUUAAAUAAAUAAAAUAAAAUUAAAAAUAAUUUAUUAAUUUUAAAUUUAUUUUUUAUUUCUCUCUCACUUGUUCUUUAAGACGUGUUGCGUGUAAAAUACCAUAAAACAAGUCAUAUCACCAUGCUCAAGAUUUCAACAUGGUAGGUGUAGGUUUUGAAGACUUUUCCAUGUGAUUAACACUUGGAUACCUGAAUUUUCUUUGGGUGGGGUUGGGCUUCUGUAAGUUUCUCUGCAAUUUUCUCCUACUUGGAAACAAAGGAAUGGUCAAAGAGAGGAACUCAGUGAAGAGAAGAUUGAAACGGACUGGAUACACCCUCGCCUGCUUCGAAGGUUGGUAUGAUCUUCACGGUUGGUAGGCCUUCUCAAGUCUCCAUGCAUGCCUCAUUUUUCCCAUAUGAUAAAUCAAUGGUCGGAAGAGCGAGCUUAACACGAACAAACAUGAUAAAAUCAUUAAAUUUUUGGAAUAAUAAUAUGAUGAAGUUAAUAAAUGAUAAGGAUUAGGAAGAUGUUUAAUGAAAUUUUAAAUUAAUAAUAAUUAGAUGUAUUUAACCUAAACUUUUGGAGAGAUUAAUGAAAUUAAUCAUAUAAAAAUUUCUUUAAUUUUAAUUUUAGAAUAAAUAUUAACAAUAUUUUUUUCAAAUAUAAAUAAUAAUAUUUGGAAAACAUCAUCAGUAAAUUGCCUUUUCAAUUUUUUCUCUAAUUGUCAUUUUAAAUGAAUAUUAAAAUCCUUUUAGUAAAAUUUAUGAAUUUAGUAAAAUAUUAAUAUCUAUAUUUUAUAAUUUUUAAUAAAGUUUUAUCAUUUUUAAUAUAAAAAAAAUUAUAUAAGUUGUGUUUGUCUUAUUAGUAUCACUAUUUACAAAAUUUAUCUUUAUAUUAUUUAUUUUAAAAAUUAUUAUUUAUUAAGAAUCAUUUUUAUAAAAGGUAAAACAUAAUUAUCAUAUAAAUAUAAAUUAAAAGUGGAGGUUAUAUUUGUUAAUUAUUUUUAAAAAGGGAUUUCAAAACAUUACUUCUCCAAAAAUAACAAUAAUAAUAAUAUAAACACAAUAUUGACUCAAAAUAUUAUGUGAAUGAAAAACUUAAAAAUAAUAUAUAUUUGUUUUUUAAAAAAUAUUUUGUCAUAAUUAAAGGUCAUCUACUCAACAUGUUGGUGGGAAUGGUAUAUAAGUCAAUGCCUGCUUUGCUCACAAAUCAAAAACCAAAACUUGCUAAUCCUUGUUAUUACACACUAUCCUUGCUCUGUGUUGAACAUGGCUACAAGCCCCUUUCGAUAUUUUAUUUCCCUUUUUCUGCUUUUGCUCUGUUUCGAAGCCUGUUUGAGGGUGGGUGAUGCUAAAGUUGGGUGCAGAGAGAGGGAGAGGCAAGCUCUCCUUCACUUCAAACAAGGUGUUGUCGAUGACGAUGGAGUGCUUUCUUCAUGGGGGAAUGGGGAAGACAAAAGAGAUUGUUGCAAAUGGAGAGGAGUCAAGUGUAACAACCAGACGGGUCAUGUGAUCAGGCUUGAUCUUCAUGCCCAAUCUUUGGGAGGUAAGAUUGGUCCUUCAUUGGCAGAGUUGCAGCACUUGAAGCAUUUGAACCUCAGCUCGAAUGAUUUUGAAGGUAAUUAUAUACAUAUAUACCUUGUGAAAAUUCAUCAGUUUGUCUCAGCAGAAUAUAAUUCUCUCUUUUCCCAAUUUUACAGGAAUUCUUCCCACUCAACUCGGUAAUCUUUCCAACUUGCAAUCCCUUGAUCUUGGCUAUAAUUAUGGGGAUAUGACCUGUGGAAACCUUGACUGGCUUUGUCACCUUCCUUUCUUAACACACCUUGACUUGAGUUGGGUUAAUCUUAGUAAAGCAAUCCAUUGGCCCCAAGCAAUUAAUAAAAUGCCUUCCCUAACUGAGUUAUACUUGAUUGAUACUCAGCUUCCUUCGAUUAUUCCAACAAUAUCCAUUUCCCAUAUUAAUUCUUCUACUUCUCUUGCUGUGCUUCAUCUCCCCUCGAAUGGUCUCACUUCUUCAAUAUACCCAUGGUUGUUCAACUUCAGUAGCAGCCUUGUUCAUCUUGACCUCUCUUGGAAUGAUCUAAAUGGUUCAACUCCGGAUGCUUUUGGAAACAUGACUACUCUGGCAUAUCUUGAUCUCUCUUCGAACGAGCUACGUGGUUCAAUUCCGGAUGCUUUUGGAAACAUGACUACUCUGGCAUAUCUUGAUCUCUCUUGGAACAAGCUACGUGGUUCAAUUCCGGAUGCUUUUGGAAACAUGACUAGUCUGGCAUAUCUUGAUCUCUCUUUGAAUGAACUUGAAGGUGAGAUUCCAAAAUCCUUGACAGAUUUAUGUAAUUUACAGGAAUUAUGGUUGUCUCAGAACAAUCUCACUGGACUGAAGGAAAAAGAUUAUCUGGCCUGCCCUAAUAACACAUUAGAGGUUUUAGAUUUAUCUUAUAAUCAAUUGAAAGGGUCAUUUCCCAAUCUUUCUGGAUUUUCACAGUUGAGAGAAUUAUUUCUUGAUUUCAAUCAACUAAAGGGAACUUUACAUGAAAGUAUUGGACAACUAGCUCAACUUCAACUGUUGUCCAUUCCUUCAAAUUCAUUGCGAGGCACUGUCUCCGCAAACCACCUUUUUGGUCUCUCCAACCUGUCUUACUUAGACUUAUCUUUCAACUCCCUUACAUUCAACAUAAGCCUUGAGCAAGUUCCCCAGUUUCGAGCCUCAAGUAUACUAUUGGCCUCUUGCAAAUUAGGCCCACGUUUUCCUAAUUGGCUUCAAACUCAAGAAGUUUUGAGCGAACUUGAUAUCUCUGCUUCUGGAAUUUCAGAUGUCAUUCCCAAUUGGUUUUGGAAUUUAACUUCAGAUUUAAAUUGGUUAAACAUUUCCAACAAUCACAUCUCGGGCACUUUGCCCAAUUUACAAGCAAGGUCUUAUUUGGGAAUGGAUAUGAGUUCAAAUUGCUUGGAAGGUUCAAUACCACAAUCUGUUUUCAAUGCUAGAUGGUUGGAUCUCUCCAAGAACUUGUUUUCAGGCUCAAUUUCUUUAUCGUGUGGGACUCCUAAUCAGCCUAGUUGGGGUUUGUCUCAUCUUGACCUCUCAAAUAAUCGACUAUCAGGAGAACUACCCAAUUGUUGGGAGCAGUGGAAAGAUUUAAUUGUUCUUGAUUUGGCAAAUAAUAAUUUUUCUGGGAAAAUUAAAAAUUCGAUUGGCUUGUUACAUCAGAUGCAAACAUUGCAUUUAUGUAACAAUAGUUUUACUGGAGCACUGCCUUCGUCCUUAAAGAACUGCAGAGCUUUGCGUCUUAUAGAUUUGGGAAAAAAUAAAUUGUCAGGAAAAAUAACCGCAUGGAUGGGAGGAAGCCUGUCAGAUUUGAUCGUUCUCAACCUAAGAUCUAAUGAAUUUAAUGGAAGCAUACCUUCAAGUCUUUGUCAACUGAAACAGAUUCAAAUGUUGGACCUCUCUAGCAACAAUCUAUCAGGAAAGAUACCAAAAUGUCUCAAAAAUUUAACUGCCAUGGCUCAAAAAGGAAGUCCGGUCCUUUCUUACGAAACAAUUUACAAUUUGAGUAUCCCAUAUCACUAUGUUGAUAGUACAUUGGUUCAAUGGAAAGGAAAAGAACAAGAGUACAAGAAAACUCUUAGAUUCAUUAAGAGCAUUGAUUUUUCAAGAAACCAAUUAAUUGGUGAAAUUCCAAUAGAAGUAACUGAUUUGGUAGAAUUGGUGUCUUUGAAUUUAUCAAGAAACAAUUUGAUUGGAUCAAUCCCUACAACAAUUGGUCAAUUGAAAUUAUUGGAUGUUCUUGAUCUAUCUCAAAACCAACUUAAUGGUAGAAUUCCGGAUACUCUUUCUCAAAUAGCCGAUCUAAGUGUUUUAGACCUAUCAAAUAACACCUUGUCAGGUAAAAUUCCAUUAGGCACUCAAUUACAAAGCUUUGAUGCCUCCACAUAUGAGGGAAAUCCUGGACUUUGUGGACCACCUCUUUUGAUAAGGUGUCCUGAAGAUGAACUUGGGGGAGUCUCCUUCACUAGUGGUCUUAGUAGUAAAAAAGAGGACAUUCAAGAUGAUGCAAAUAAUAUAUGGUUUUAUGGAAAUAUUGUUCUUGGAUUCAUCAUCGGAUUUUGGGGAGUUUGCGGCACUUUACUAUUCAAUAGUUCAUGGAGAUAUGCCUAUUUCCAAUUGUUGAGCAAGAUAAAGGAUUGGUUGUACAUGACAACAAUAGUAAAUAUGAAUAGAAUACGAAGGAGCCUGCAAGGUUAAAUGGUAAGACUUCUCAAAUUCUCUUUUUAGUUUUUCUGGUAAAAUGUGUUAACUUCUAUUUAUUAUCCAACAGUUAAGAAUAAAAAGUACACUUUAUGCUACUACUCAAAUCCCUCUUCUAUUAUUUGAUUGACCUUCCACAAUAUAUUGAUGAAAGCUUAGAUUUUGCAAAUAGAAGCAUCGAUAAAAUAAGCAAGCGUAGAAGAUUUUAAUAUACUUUUUUGUAAUAGUUGUGCAUAUUUAGCUUUCAUCAUGUAAAGAUUAAUCUUAUAGGCCGAGGAUCAUAGUUGAAGAAUGAUUAUUUGUAUUUUUAUUUCUAUCUUACUUCAAGUUACAAUUUUUUCUUUUAAAUGUUAAGUUAAUUUGUUGUCUUCAAAUAUUAUAAGUACAUUAAAAGUUCAAUUGUAAGUAACAUACUAAAACCUUCAUUUCUACUAAUCAAGAAGAGUCGCAACUAAGAAAUUAUUCCAAAUUGAUGAGCGUUGUUGCAUUUCAUCUUUGUAUUACAGGACUUCAGCUGGGUUGCAUCUCAAGGAUUAGUAGGUGAUAUAUGCUUUUGAGUAACGGGAGUAUUUAUGAUGGGAUAGUUACAUGCCUUAAUGCAAAAGCUUGUCAUCGGAUAAAUGACAUCAACAUGUAUUAAGUUUGCUUAUUUGGUAGUUAGCUUGGCUUUAAGUUUCUCGUGUUAUAUUCUAUUUAGAACUUUUUAAACAUUAAUUUUUGCUAUUAUAUGUACGACUUUGUAUUUUGUUGCUCUAAAAUUUAUUUGUUAUUUUUGUAGAAUCAAAUAUUAGAGGCCUUUGUAGGGGGUGCUAAAAAAAUACUUCAUCUUAGAAAAAUAUUUUUUUUUUUGCUCAAAAACAAAGUUUAUUUUUUGGGAAAUGCAAUGUGAUAAUACCCAUUAGUAUGAAAUGUGGGAUAUGCUACUACUGAAAACAGAGCACUCUGUUUUUUUGGUGCUCAAGCAUGAAAGCUCCUGUAACACAGAGAGGUCUGAUUUCCAACCGUGAAUCAAAUUGCUUAAGGUACUCCAUAUGCAGAUUGCUGGAAGUCACUUUGGGCAUCAAUCAUCUUCAAGGGACGAUGAUGAUGGGAAUUGGAUCAACGGCGGUAAAGACCAACUAUGGAAAGUUUGCUAAAAAGCUCCCAUUUCUUUAUUUUGGUUUCUGCUUUUGUAAAUAACAAUGUUAUCCAAAAUUUGUGUUGGUUGCUCAAGUUUUGUAAAAGCUAUUCAACCAAUACAAAUCGCUACAUAAUAUGCAUUUUGCCGAAGAUCUGUGAUGAUUUGGAGCUCUCUCCAAUGCCAUACCAGGUUACAACUGAAACAAGCAUCUUAUUUAGGAAUAGUUAACAACAACGAAGAACUGCAAUUUAUAUUUGUGUUUUUUGUUCCACUGAAUAUUGCAGUAAUCAACUUAUGGAAGAAGUUGGAGCUGUUGGAGAAGAAAGUGCUCUUCAUGUUUGCUCAAACAAUUCAGAGGGAAGUUUAGCUUUUGCUUUGGUAGUUGUGAAGUUGCAAACUGUUAUUAGAAUAAGAAGCCUCUACUUUUGCUUGUUACUGAAUAUGAAUUUUUUUUUUAAGAAGUAAAUUUGCUAAUUAUUGUUCUUUUUCUUAGGCACCCAAGAAAAGAGUAUGUACUUUUAGCAAAGACCAAGAGGAAACUAUUAGAGCUUCAUUUGAGCAGUGAGUGCUUAAUUUGUUCUUUUUUGUGGCAUAUGCAUGUAGUCUUAAAUUUGAUUUCCCUCUGCAUAAUUGAUGCUGAAUAUUGUGAUUUUGGAAAGAUUAAUGCUAGUCUCCUUUUCGUCUUUUAAAUUAAAUUAGAUUUGUUUACGUAUAGGUUUAAAGACCAUAAAAGGUGCACCUACAUGAUUGUAAGUGCUCUAGAUGGUGAUGGUACGUUCACAGCUGCCCAAGUUUCCCAUAAGCUCAAGCAACAAUUUGCUUGUGUUCCUCAUCAAAAAAAGAGUUGAAGACAACUUGCAUUUGAGAGAUGAAGAUCUUAAUGGUUGUGAUAUAGCCAAAGCACAGGAUUCCAAUGAUGAAACAUUGUUUUCACUAAGAAAAAGGUAACUAUAUCUUUAUGAAUUUCAUGCAAUUUUGUGAAUUAAUCUUAUUUGUGUGAUAUCCCACAUCGAAUGAGGGGAAAACUAUUAUAUAUACAUAUAUAGGUUCUCUUAGACACGUUUUAAAACUCAUGAGGGCCCCUUAAGCCCAUAAUAGAUAAUAACUACAUAGUUAGCAGUGGAUCGUUAUAGCUUGUAUGCAAACUUUAUCACAUACUUGCAUCUUUGUGGUUGCAGACUUGUAGUGUAUUUGCAUUUGCUUGCAUUUGUCAAGUACUAUACUUUGGUGAUGAAAUCAUAAAUUCAUGACACUCAAGACUUAAUCCAAUUGACAUGUUUUUUUUUUUACUAAAUACAAUAACUAAUUCUUAAGUUAUAAAUUAUAUCACCAAAUUAUUUUUUUACAAUAUAUAGUUUAUUUCAAAUUUUAUUUUAUUUUUCUUCACCUCUUAGGUUUAUCACUUUACAUUACAAAAUAAAAUAAAUUGCAAUUUCCCUUUUCACAAGAUUUUUAUUUUUACAAAAUAUUCAAUAUUUUCCAACUUUUAUAAAAUAAUUUCCGAAAUUAUAUAAUCGGCUGUUAUAAAGAUUUUAAAUUUUUGUGUUGUCAUGGGAUUAUUUUGUUGGCAUGCUUGACCCAGUUGGUAACUUAGGUUUUUUUUUUUUUUUUAAUUCGCCUGACCUUCACAUGUGGCCUAUUACCAUUGGUGGAAAAUUGUGGGUAAGGUGAGAUUUCGGUACCCAAGCUUGACCAUAUAUAUCUGUGAAUUACGCAGAAGACUCGAAAAGUCAAAGGAAAAAUCCUGGGAACCAAGCUGGAAAACACAGGACUGUUAUUUCAGGGAAGGUGUACGUUUGGGGGCAUAUUACAGCUUGGGUACUGAACAAGAGGCAUGUAAGAAGUCUGGCCAUGGAUGCAGAAGAAGAAAAGCAAAGUAAAACCCACAUCCAUGGACAGUUGGUAGAGAUAAACCACAAUCAGGAGAAACGAAUACGCCACGAAGAAACAAAGGCACAGAAUCUGACAACUGGGUUUGCGGUCGUCCAAGUUUUAAUUCUCAACACACUGGUGAUCAACAAGCCAUCCGGCAGAUGCGAACACUGGUGGGUGCCAUUCUCUCUCUCCUUAUCAGUCGGUGUGAUUUAUUUCGUCACCAUUUUUGAGGUAGUGAAGAAAUGCUACCUUCUGCUCUACCAUUUGGACGUCAACUACAUGGAGCAAGAAGCCAUUCUUCUGGAAAUGCAUGGGGGUGCUUCGUCCCGGCGACAUGAUCAGCCAUUGAAGCCAGAUGUGGUGAAGCUCCUGAGGCGUAAAGCUUAUAUCACGAUACUGAUUUCUGCCAUGCUCGCCUUUCAAGCUCUGAUGCUCCACGCCUGCAGCUCCUUUC
rnacentral:lncRNA from 1 species